UGACAUUGACAUCCCCUGCUCAAGCUGUCGCUUGACUUAUUGCCCGACUUUCCCUGGCUUACUUGCAUAUAUUAUUGUUUAAUUUGCAUCUACAACAAUCACUAGAUGCCUUGUACCGGAAUGGGAUGCAGUGAUCCGUGGCUCUCAUCUCAUCUUUACACGGGUCAUUCUUUUGGACUGGCACUAUUAUGAAUGCAGUCUCUAUGAAGCUGACGUAUACAUGGUCAUUCUCCC